rnacentral:rRNA from 1 species
CACGUAGGGUGCGAGCGUUGUCCGGAAUUAUUGGGCGUAAAGAGCUCGUAGGCGGUGUGUCGCGUCGGCCGUGAAAACCUGCAGCUUAACUGUGGGCGUGCGGUCGAUACGGGCAUCACUGGAGUUCGGCAGGGGAGACUGGAAUUCCUGGUGUAGCGGUGAAAUGCGCAGAUAUCGGGAAGAACACCCGUGGCGAAGGCGGCACUCUGGGACGGUACUGACGCUGAGACGCGAAAGCGUGGGGAGCGAACAGG